rnacentral:lncRNA from 1 species
GAUUUGGGGUCAGGGUCCGGAUUUGGGUCCAGAUCUGGAUCUGGGGUCAGGGUCUGGAUUCAGGGGCUGGGGGCCAGAUCUGGGGUCAGAGUCCAGAUUUGGGAUUGGGAUCUGGAUUUGGGGUCAGAGUCCAGAUUUGGGAUCAGGAUCCGGAUUUGGGAUCGGGAUCCGGAUUUGGGAUCUGGAUCUGGAUUUGGGGUCAGGGUCCAGAUUUGGGGUCAGGGUCUGGAUUUGGGAUCGGGAUCUGGAUUUGGGAUCGGGAUCCAGAUUUGGGAUCUGGAUCCGGAUUUGGGGUCAGGGUCCAGCGCUGGGAUCUGCAGUGGGGGCGCGGGGCCCCGCGUGGUUCCUGGUCUUCUCUCAGAUCCCCAACCCCGCGCCCGCUCCCACCCGCGUCCCCAGCCGGGUGUCACCGUGUCACCACUGCGGUGUCACCGGGGCACCGUGUCCCCAAGAAGAGGUCACCACGUCAUGGUGUCCCCAACGCGAUGUCACCAGGACAUGGUGUCCCCAACGUGAUGUCACCGUGUCCCCAAUACGAUGUCACCGAUGUCCCCAACGCGAUGUCACCGGGACAUGGUGUCCCCAGUGCAACGUCACUGUGUCCCCAAGUUGAAGUCACCGGGACAUGGUGUCCCCACUGCGACGUCACCAGGACAUCAUGUCCCCAACAUGAUGUCACCAGGACAUGGUGUCCCCAGCGCGAUGUCACCGGGACAUGGUGUCCCCAACACGAUGUCACCAGGACAUGGUGUCCCCAGCGCGAUGUCACCGGGACAUGGUGUCCCCAACGUGAUGUCACCGGGACAUGGUGUCCCCAGCAUGAUGUCACCGUGUCCCCAGCACGAUGUCACCAGGACAUGGUGUCACCAACACGGUGUCACCGGGACACGAUGUCACCAUGGAGACGCCAGCAGGACACAGUGUCACCCAUGAGAUGUCGCCAGGGCACAGUGUCCCCAAGGAGAUGUCACCACGCCAUGGUGUCCCCAGCGAGGUGUCCCCAUGCCAUGGGGUGUCACCGUGUCACCGAGCCUUCACCUGGACGUGAUGUCCCCAGCGCGAUGUCACCAGGGCACGGUGUCACCAACACGAUGUCACCACGCCGUGGUG